rnacentral:rRNA from 1 species
UGCUAAUACCGGAUAACAACAGAUGAUGCCUAUCAACUUGUUUAAAAGAAUGGUUCUGCUAUCACUCUUGGAUGGACCUGCGGUGCAUUAGCUAGUUGGGUAGGGGUAACGGGCCUACCAAGGCGAUGAUGCAUAGCCCGAGUUGAGAGACUGAUCGGGCCACAUUGGGACUGAGACACGGCCCAAACUCCUACGGGAGGCAGCAGUAGGGGAACCUUCCACAAUGGACGCAAAGUCUGAUGGAGCAAAACGCCGCGUGAGUGAAGAAGGGUUUCGGCUCGUAAAAGCUCUGUUGUUGGUGAAGAAGGACAGGGGUAGUAACUGACCCUUUUGUUUGACGGUAAUCAAUUUAGAAAGUCACGGGCUAACUACGUGCCCAGCAGCCGCGGUAAAU